GACGAACGCUGGCGGCGUGCUUAACACAUGCAAGUCGAACGGAAAGGCCCUGCUUUUGUGGGGUGCUCGAGUGGCGAACGGGUGAGUAACACGUGAGUAACCUGCCCUUGACUUUGGGAUAACUUCAGGAAACUGGGGCUAAUACCGGAUAGGAGCUCCUGCUGCAGGGUGGGGGUUGGAAAGCUGCGGCGGAUGGGGAUGGACUGGGGGAUUAUCAGUUUGUGGGUGGGGCAGAGGCUUACCAAGGCUUUGACUGGUAGCCGGCAGGAGAGGGUGACCGGCGACAUUGGGACUGAGGUACGGCCCAGACUCCUACGGUAGGCAGCGGUGGGGAAUAUUGCACAAUGGGCGGAAGCCUGAUGCAGCAGCGCCGCGGGCGGGAUGACGGCCUUCGGGUUGUAAACCGCUUUCGCCUGUUACGAAGCGUGAGUGACGGUAAUGUGUAAAUAAGCACCGGCUAACUACGUG
rnacentral:rRNA from 1 species